CCUGGGGGAGCGUUUUGUUCAUGUCAGCACAAAACGCUUCCUUGAGGGUACACUUUGUGUUAACGUGGACAAAACGCUCCCCCAGGG
rfam:Gossypium arboreum cultivar AKA8401 contig_31960_1, whole genome shotgun sequence.